rnacentral:rRNA from 1 species
GAUUAACGCUGGCGGUAUGCCUAACACAUGCAAGUCGAACGGAAUACUAAUUAAGAGAAUCUCACACUAGUGAGAGGUUCUCACGAGUAGUAUUUAGUGGCGGACGGGUGAGUAACACGUUGGAACCUGCCCCGAAGUGGGGAAUAACUGCUCGAAAGAGUAGCUAAUACCCCAUAGUAUCCGGUUUAUCCGGAUUAAAGAUUUAUCGCUUCGGGAGGGGCCUGCGUCUGAUUAGCUAGUUGGUGAGGUAAAAGCUCACCAAGGCGACGAUCAGUAGCUGGUUCGAGAGGAUGACCAGCCACACUGGGACUGAGAUACGGCCCAGACUCCUACGGGAGGCAGCAGUGAGGAAUCUUCCACAAUGGACGAAAGUCUGAUGGAGCAAUACCGCGUGCAGGAAGACGCUUUUCGGAGUGUAAACUGCUUUUGUCGUCGAAGAUUAUGACUGUAGACGAAGAAUAAGGACCGGCUAACUACGUGCCAGCAGCCGCGGUAAAAGUCACG